ACAAAGAAUUUCCUCAGCUCAAUGACAUCUGCCUUCCUGUUGUAAUAUCUUCCACUCUUGUAAGUUCCCCUCCUGGUUUCUAUUAAAGUCUUGCCUAAUUUAAAUUCAAUUAACAGAUGAUCACUUUUGCCCAAAGAGCAAUGAAAAUUUAUCCGCUCAAUGAUGUCAAGUUCAUUGGUAAACAGUAGAUCGCACCUUGGUGCCUCCUCAUCCCCAUUAAAUCUGGUGUUUUCCCCAAUCCACUGGGUCAUAGUGUUAGACAUUACUAAGUUUAGCUGUGCAUUUCCCCAUCAUUCUUCUUCCUCUUCUGCAGUCCAUUCUUUCCAGCACACUUCUUUGCAGUUAAAGUCUCCCAUAAGUGUUAUAUUAUUACUCUCAAUAUUUUCUUUAGACAGUUACUAGGAUCUCUUAACAUUAUUUUGUAGUCCUCCUGAUUCCAUGCAUUGGUUUUUGGUGGUACAUGUGCUGCUGCAAAAUCUCUUUCCUUCUUUCUUCAUUUUCAUGCUAACUGCUCUUCUGAUCUUGCUAACUGCAUGCCUCCCCUCCUUCCACGGCCUCGCCCCACAAGACUUUCUUCUUUCUCUCACCCCUAUUCUGUCCACCUCUCUAAUGCAAGAGCAGAAAAUACCCCAGAAAACACACUGGAAAAUACUCUAGGCUUCUCAAAUGCCCCAGAACACACCCCAGGCUUAGCAAACCUCCCAGAACCCACCCCAACUAACACCCCAGCCAGUCAGCCGAGCCCCAGCACCCGCCAGUCACCCCCCCUAGCCGUCCUCCUCACCCGGCGCACGACGCGAAAAAUACUGAACGAAAAACAACUGGCGGAGACGAUCCAACGCGAACUGAACAAGACCUAUGGGGAAGGAGUCGUCAGAAUCAUGUUUUCCAGUGAUCCUGAAAGCCACGCUUUCAGGAUCACCUUGACCCCUUGGCAUUGAGUGAUAAUGAGCUCUUUUGGGAUUGCCUUGACCCCUUGGCAUUGAGUGAUAAUGAGCUCAUGCUCAAAUAUCACUUCCCUCGGCAGACCUAAUCCUCUUGUGAUUUGGUAAUUACCAAUUUACACCCAGGUUUUGCUGUCCCUGAGAUUGUUUGCCAGUGGGUCCUUCCAAAAUGUCAUUGGAGACACUGCAGACCUACGCAAGCGUCAGCAGAGUCUUUGAGUGUGUGUGCACCGAGUUGAGUGAUAAGUCAGUGCAGGAAAUCAAGAUGCCUCCAACACACCUUGAUCAAAGGAGAACUGCACAACAGUUCUUCAGGAUCAAAAAUUUCCCAAGGGUUACUGGGGCCAUUGAUGGCACCCACAUUGCCAUCAAGGCCCCAGGUGUGGACGAGGCCCUUUACUUUAACCAGAAAAGGUAUCACUCCCUCUCAACAUCCAACUUGUUUGUGAUGCGAAUGGAGUGAUCCUCAGCUACUGCUCCAGACUCCCAGGUGCCUGCACUCUUACGGAGGUAGCUUGCAGUACAGACCCAUCAAGUGUGUGAAAAUAAUUAAUGCUUGCCUGCUCCUACACAACCGCUGCAUGAAGUUCCUGAUGACCUACCACCUCUUGAGGAUGAAGCAGUGCCCCAUGCUGGUGCCGACCCUGCUGUGCUGCAGAGGGGUCUACGUGCUCCAGGCAGAAUUGUGCAGCAAGAAAUCAUACAAAACUUCUUCCAGCAAUGAAGGUAUGGCAGUCCUGUAAAUGCUGUGUGAGACCACAUCCACAGCACGACCACCUCCACAGCAGUGUAUGUUGUCUCAUCUGGAGGUCACCCACCUGCAUGGAUAUGAAUGUUGCAAUUAUCAGCCACUUUGAAGUUCACAUGUAAAGCCAAAUGAAAUUGGUGUAAAUCAUGAAUGUAUUAGAGCAUAUUGAUGUUAUUUAGCACUGCAGUGGUCACUGUCUCAGACCUGACUGCCAGAGGUACUGUACAUACUCCUAUUUAUAAUCCAUUGCUUAGUUGGUUCUUGUAUGUUUAUUGACUAUAUGGGUAAAUUGUGUAACAGCACCAACAAUGAAAUACAACAAGUACACGAGCAAACUUUUUAAAUAAUUGCCAGGGUUUUAAGCACUGCUAACAGUCAUCUAACCUAACUAACCUAACCAUAACCUAACCUCAACAAAGUAAAACCAAUAUUCAAGAAAUGAAAUUCAUUACAGCAGUUUGGGUCCCAAAGGUUGUGCAGAAAAACUUUUUUUUUUGUCCCAAUAUGCAACAAAGUCAUACAGAGGAAGUUGUUCACAUUACUCAAAACAGUGUCCAGCAAUGCCCAAAACAUUAGUCAAUUAAAUUCCAUAAGCAAUUAGGUCAAGACAAAAUAUUAAGCAAAUAUGGUAGUGUGGGUAAAUUUUUACUCUAUGUUCAUCUUUUCCACAUGAAACUAUUUGCUUUUUGUCAUUUUUGGCAUACACUGAAUUAGUAUGUUAAUCAAAUCUGAUGUAACAUAACCAAAGUAAUCUAACAAAACCAAAGACAAACCUGAAAUAGCUAAAAUAACCUUGCUUCUCUAAAAAUAUGUACAUGUAGCCGUUUAACAAUUGCUGUCAUCAUUACAAUUAAUUUGCAGUUGGUAUAUGUGGGGUUCAAAUUAUUCUGGAAUGACAAACUGUAUCUGAUGAGAAGGGUAGGAAAGGCCAUGUUGAGACUGGUGAAGGAGUAAAAGAAUACCCUACUGUGUGUGUGUGCUGGAACCAUAAGCCAUGAUUUCACUUACUUGUAGCAGGACAUCACUCCAUUUUUGGUAAUAUCACCCAUCCAUAUAGCCCUCUAUCCCUCUUCUGUCUCAACUGCACCAUGCUAGGUCUGCAACUAUGCCAAUGAAGAUGUGAUAAGAAUAACCAAUUAACUCACCAGUGCC